GGCUAAUGCACCAUUCUUCUCUCAACCAGGAAGCCCCAGAACAAUGCCUGAGCAUGCGUGGACCUCAGAGCUCCAAAUAUGAUGGUGAUGAUUGUUACUAAUUUUGAGACAGGGUCUCACCCUGUUGGCCAGGUGUGAGGGCAGUGGCGCCAUCUCUGCUUACUGCAACCUCCACCUCUGAAGCGCAAGCAAUUCUCCUACCACACACUCCAGAAUGAGUAGGUGAAACAGCAGGAACUAGUGACCACGCCCAGCUAAUUUUUGUUGUUGUUGUUGUUAAAGAGAGGCAGUCUGGAACUCUAGUUCAAGUGAUUUGCCAGGUCGGCCACCCAAAAUGCUGGGAUAACAGGAAUAAGCCACUGUGCACGGUCUGAGAUACAAAUAUGAUUGAAAGGGAUGAUCAAACAGGCUGCUGCCUUCAUCUGGGUGUAACCAAUGUAAGAUGUAAGAAAGAUGUUAAAUCACGGAGAGAAAACACAACGCAACAAAAAAGAAACCAUGAACAGAGAAAAACACAACACAACACAAAGGAACCAUUUGCAAUGCAAGAUUUCCCAGGAAUGUGGGCUCUUAAGCACCCUCUCCACGGAGGCUGUGGGCCAGCUGCAUGUCUCUGGACAUAAUUGGGAAGCUCCUGGCAUGGAUGACACACAGUUUGGUAUCUUACAAAAGUUCUGAUGUAAAUGUGUUGCUGGAAAAGAGGGGUUUCACCAUGUUGUCCAGGUUGGUCUUGAACUCCUGACCUCAGGAGAUCCACCCACCUCGGCCUCCCAAAAUGCUGAGAUUACAGGCAUGAGCCACCACGCCAGACCAGUAAUUUC
rnacentral:lncRNA from 1 species